rnacentral:lncRNA from 1 species
UGGCGGAUUCGGGGGUGAGGGCGAAUAGGUCUUUCAGUCACCCUUGGAUUGGACAAAGUAUCGUGCUUUAGCAUAAUAUCGUCAAUAUUGUUUUUAUACUCGCUUCACUCUGUGAUUUUUUUUUAAUUUUAUAGAGUAACACUCCUUUUUAUAUCGAGGAACCGCCCCUGAAGGUUAAAAAAGAUUUCAACUGUGAAGUAUAUCUGAGGUAGUUAAUGCACACCUUUGCUGUGCAUUAUCCAGAUUAUAGCACAGUAAGAACAAAGAGAUUUUAUCCAUGUCAUGUGUUAACUGUAUUAUUACGUAUAUGUUAUAACAUAUUUUUAAGAAAUAACUCCGUAUUUAUUAAAUAGGUAGUCCGAAUACUUUCUAUAU